CGUCGCCGUAAACCUUAGUGUAGAAGCGCAAUGACUUGACAGGUCGGGGAUACAUUUUGAUGGUGGAACUGUGUUCCUCACCCCACCGGCCAGCAGUGUGUGCAUGCUGCUGAGUCCACCCUCUGUUAAAAUUGGCUGCACAACGCCUGGAUUGCUACAAUGGGUAUUUUGGAGAAAAUCGCGGAAAUAGAGAAAGAAAUUUCUCGGACACA